ACUACUUUAAAUCUGUUUUGAAAACAGAAAAAAGAGAAAUCUAAGUAGUU
rnacentral:tRNA from 1 species